rnacentral:snRNA from 1 species
GGAUGUGAGGAGGAUCUGACUGCAAUCUCUGUCAGCUCAUUGAUUGCCACGGUUGAUUUUGCUGAUCUAGCUAGCUGGAUGGGUUUCUCAUUCUUUGCUCACUGUAUCCCUCCUGAAGUUGCACACCCAGUGGAAGAGGACAACAUUUCAAAUAGAAGGAGUAUCAUUUUUCUGUCAAUGGUAAAGUACUGUGGCAUCUUUAUGAUUAACAAUUUUAUUUACGUGAGAGUUAUUGUGGAUUACAAUUCACUUUUGCAG